rnacentral:rRNA from 1 species
GACGAACGCUGGCGGCGUGCUUAACACAUGCAAGUCGAACGAAGUGGCGAACGGGUGAGUAAUACGUGGGUAACCUUCCCUCCUUUUUGGGAUAAGCCUUGGAAACCGGGUCUAAUACCGACUAAAGGGGGAUGGGCUCGCGGCCUAUCAGCUUGUUGGUGGGGUGAGGGCCUACCAAGGCGGUGCCGGGUAGCCGGCCUGAGAGGGUGACCGGCAACAGUGGGACGGAGAUACGGCCCAGACUCCUACGGGAGGCAGCAGUGGGGGAUAUUGCACAAUGGGCGAAAGCCUGAUGCAGCGACGCCGCGUGGGGGAAGAAGGCUUUCGGGUUGUAAACCUCUGUUGUUAGAAAAACGGUAUCUAACCAGAAAGCCACGGCUAACUACGUGCCAGCAGCCGCGGUAAUUC